rnacentral:rRNA from 1 species
CAGUAGCCACGGGAAUACGAAGGGGGCUAGCGUUGUUCGGAUUUACUGGGCGUAAAGGGUGCGUAGGCGGACUGAUAAGUCAGGGGUGAAAUCCCAAGGCUCAACCUUGGAACUGCCUUUGAUACUGUUAGUCUUGAGUUCGAGAGAGGUGAGUGGAACUGCGAGUGUAGAGGUGAAAUUCGUAGAUAUUCGCAAGAACACCAGUGGCGAAGGCGGCUCACUGGCUCGGAACUGACGCUGAGGCACGAAAGCGUGGGGAGCAAACAGGAUUAGAUACCCCCGUAGUCCCUGUCUCUUAUAC